rnacentral:rRNA from 1 species
UACGAAGGGGGCUAGCGUUGCUCGGAAUCACUGGGCGUAAAGCGCACGUAGGCGGAUUGUUAAGUCGGGGGUGAAAUCCUGGAGCUCAACUCCAGAACUGCCUUCGAUACUGGCGAUCUUGAGUCCGGGAGAGGUGAGUGGAACUCCGAGUGUAGAGGUGAAAUUCGUAGAUAUCGGGAGGAACACCUGAGGCGAAGGCGGGCUACUGGGCCGAUACUGACGCUGAUGCGCGAAAGCCAGGGGAGCGAACGGG